ACCAAUUUACAUUUACAUUCAAGAACGAGUAUUAUUGUAGUGGAUUUGUGCCCUUACCAGACAAUAUCUUCUCUACAACUCAGUUCGAGAGCAAUACUAGCGAUAUACAGAC
rnacentral:snoRNA from 1 species